UUAAUUUUCAAGUUGUAAUUUUCACAAUCAGUUUCCCUUUUCCCCCAUUUUCUAGCUUUCUAGUCGGGUUCUUUUGGUAGGUUAAUUGGCUGUGGGACAAAAACCUUUUAUCAAUUGGAACACCCUUACAACUCGUCCCUGCUUCCGAUUUUUCUAGGGUUGUUCAUUCUACUUCUUUAUUCCUCAAAUUAAGGUUCCAGUUAUUAAACCCCCCAUUUUUCAAUUCUCAAUUUUCUACUUUCUUUUCUUUGAUCGCGAUUUUGUAUCUCGAUUUUGAUCUCGAUUUCAGAUUCAUUCAUAGAAUUCAGAUAUAUCAUCGCAUAAUUAGGGUUUUUUUCUUCUUUAAUUUGCCGAAUUUCGGUUUGAUUCUGAAUAAAUUACAGAGUUUUUGUUGAGUUAAGAGAUGGGGACUACCGAGGGAUUGGUGAUGCAGUUUGGAGUCACGAAGCCGAUUUCCAUGGCGAGACCUGCUGCUGCGGAUUUGAAGAGAACUCGUGAACUGGAGAAGAUGUCAGCAUUUUCUAGGCUCCGACACAGGUAUUGAAGUAAUAUGAGAAGAGUCCAAGAACAUACUCUAUAGACAGGUACGUUGAAAUAGAAAAGAUAUUGGAACAAGUUGACACAAAAUAAUAUACAAUCACUAGCAGUAAAGCAAUACCCAUUUGUUAUUCGGAUGUUGAUGUGUGCAAUGUGGGAUUUCUCUCAUAGUGUGUCAUAGUUGGCUAAUUUGAAGGAUUAAUCAUUAAUGAGAGUGAAAAACCACCAGUUAACUAGGCUAUGGAAUUUUUUAUGAGAAGUAUAAAGUGCUAAUUUGAUACGUAGCUUUCUCAUUGGCAUAGAGAUUUAAAAAUGAUACUAAAAUGUAGAAUGAAAAAAGAACUGUUUGAAUUAUAUGUGUUAGAAUCAAAGUAAUCAAAGAAAAACUGCAACGAGAUAAUCGACACAAAGAUAUACGUGACCAACAAUGUGUUAGCUUAUUCAUAGGCUUAGGGAGAAACAAUCUUAUUACACUUAUUCAUAUGCUUGUUGGCAUCCAUGUACGGGAUACUUUAUGAGUACACGAAGUGUUGUUACGUUGCAAGGGAUACUCUUUGUAGAACGAUGCUAUGGAUAUAGCUGGAUUUUGAAUUAGCCAUGGCUGAAAAUAUUUAUUUCAAUUGCAUAACUAACAAAUUGAUGAGCUUUUGUUGGGAAAGAAAAUAAGAGACACCUUUCACUAGUUUAUAUGUGUGAACGUUUCUGUAGCUGCUGUACUGAGUGUGGUGAUUUUGAGACGGGGCUUUCUUUAUAUGAAGACGUCGACUAAUUGGUGCAAAAGUUGAUUAACACUUUUAGUUAGCUCUACUUUAUAUGAUAGUGUUGCUGACUUGGCGAAUCUGUCGUCCAAUUGGCGUGUAGGCAAUCCACCCUGGUUAUGGAUUUUUGUCAGAAAAUGCUGAGUUUGCUCAACAGUGUGAAGACCAAAGUCUUUCUUUUGUAGGGCCUUCAACAUCUGCAAUACGGGAUAUGGGCCACAAAAGGUAAAAACAAGGGCUGCCUUAUUCCCAUGUUCUCCAAUGUAACUUUAUUUGUGUAUUCAAGAUCAUUUUCUUAUGAUUUUUGACCCCAAUGAGGUUUUUAAUUUGUGUAUUCAAGAUCAUUUUCUUAUGAAUUUUUGACCCCAAUGAGGUCUUUAAAAUUGUCAAUGUGUACAAUUUUGUUGUGGCUUGAUGUGCUUGUUAGUUGGAGACUACUAAUAUUUGAUUAAUUGACCUUUCA